rnacentral:rRNA from 1 species
ACGGGUGAGUAACGCGUGGGUAACCUGCCUCAUACAGGGGGAUAACAGUUGGAAACGACUGCUAAUACCGCAUAAGCGCACAGUGCUGCAUGGCACAGUGUGAAAAGAUUUAUCAGUAUGAGAUGGACCCGCGUCUGAUUAGCUAGUUGGUGAGGUAAUGGCCCACCAAGGCGACGAUCAGUAGCCGGCUUGAGAGAGUGAACGGCCACAUUGGGACUGAGACACGGCCCAAACUCCUACGGGAGGCAGCAGUGGGGAAUAUUGCACAAUGGGGGAAACCCUGAUGCAGCGACGCCGCGUGAGUGAAGAAGUAUUUCGGUAUGUAAAGCUCUAUCAGCAGGGACGAUAAUGACGGUACCUGACUAAGAAGCCCCGGCUAACUACGUGCCAGCAGCCGCGGUAAUACGUAGGGGGCAAGCGUUAUCCGGAUUUACUGGGUGUAAAGGGAGCGUAGACGGUGAUGUAAGUCAGAUGUGAAAGCCCAGGGCUCAACCCUGGGACUGCAUUUGAAACUAUGUCACUAGAGUGCAGGAGAGGUAAGUGGAAUUCCUAGUGUAGCGGUGAAAUGC